rnacentral:rRNA from 1 species
GGUUAAGCGACUAAGCGUACACGGUGGAUGCCCUGGCAGUCAGAGGCGAUGAAGGACGUGCUAAUCUGCGAUAAGCGUCGGUAAGGUGAUAUGAACCGUUAUAACCGGCGAUUUCCGAAUGGGGAAACCCAGUGUGUUUCGACACACUAUCAUUACGUGAAUACAUAGCGUAAUGAAGCGAACCGGGGGAACUGAAACAUCUAAGUACCCCGAGGAAAAGAAAUCAACCGAGAUUCCCCCAGUAGCGGCGAGCGAACGGGGAGCAGCCCAGAGUCUGAAUCAGCUUGUGUGUUAGUGGAACGGUCUGGAAAGUCCGACGGUACAGGGUGAUAGUCCCGUACACCAAAAUGCACAGGUUGUGAACUCGAAGAGUAGGGCGGGACACGUGGUAUCCUGUCUGAAUAUGGGGGGACCAUCCUCCAAGGCUAAAUACUCCUGACUGACCGAUAGUGAACCAGUACCGUGAGGGAAAGGCGAAAAGAACCCCGGCGAGGGGAGUGAAAAAGAACCUGAAACCGUGUACGUACAAGCAGUGGGAGCCUCUUUAUGGGGUGACUGCGUACCUUUUGUAUAAUGGGUCAGCGACUUAUAUUCUGUAGCAAGGUUAACCGUAUAGGGGAGCCGAAGGGAAACCGAGUCUUAACUGGGCGUUAAGUUGCAGGGUAUAGACCCGAAACCCGGUGAUCUAGCCAUGGGCAGGUUGAAGGUUGGGUAACACUAACUGGAGGACCGAACCGACUAAUGUUGAAAAAUUAGCGGAUGACUUGUGGCUGGGGGUGAAAGGCCAAUCAAACCGGGAGAUAGCUGGUUCUCCCCGAAAGCUAUUUAGGUAGCGCCUCGUGAAUUCAUCUUCGGGGGUAGAGCACUGUUUCGGCUAGGGGGUCAUCCCGACUUACCAACCCGAUGCAAACUGCGAAUACCGAAGAAUGUUAUCACGGGAGACACACGGCGGGUGCUAACGUCCGUCGUGAAGAGGGAAACAACCCAGACCGCCAGCUAAGGUCCCAAAGUCAUGGUUAAGUGGGAAACGAUGUGGGAAGGCACAGACAGCCAGGAUGUUGGCUUAGAAGCAGCCAUCAUUUAAAGAAAGCGUAAUAGCUCACUGGUCGAGUCGGCCUGCGCGGAAGAUGUAACGGGGCUAAACCAUGCACCGAAGCUGCGGCAGCGACACUAUGUGUUGUUGGGUAGGGGAGCGUUCUGUAAGCCGUUGAAGGUGUAUCGUGAGGUAUGCUGGAGGUAUCAGAAGUGCGAAUGCUGACAUAAGUAACGAUAAUGCGGGUGAAAAACCCGCACGCCGGAAGACCAAGGGUUCCUGUCCAACGUUAAUCGGGGCAGGGUGAGUCGACCCCUAAGGCGAGGCCGAAAGGCGUAGUCGAUGGGAAACAGGUUAAUAUUCCUGUACUUGGUGUUACUGCGAAGGGGGGACGGAGAAGGCUAUGUUAGCCGGGCGACGGUUGUCCCGGUUUAAGCAUGUAGGCGGAGGUUCCAGGUAAAUCCGGUACCUUUUUAACGCUGAGGUGUGAUGACGAGGCACUACGGUGCUGAAGUGAUAAAUGCCCUGCUUCCAGGAAAAGCCUCUAAGCAUCAGGUAACACGAAAUCGUACCCCAAACCGACACAGGUGGUCAGGUAGAGAAUACCAAGGCGCUUGAGAGAACUCGGGUGAAGGAACUAGGCAAAAUGGUGCCGUAACUUCGGGAGAAGGCACGCUGAUAUGUAGGUGAAGUCCCUGCGGGCGGAGCUGAAAUCAGUCGAAGAUACCAGCUGGCUGCAACUGUUUAUUAAAAACACAGCACUGUGCAAACACGAAAGUGGACGUAUACGGUGUGACGCCUGCCCGGUGCCGGAAGGUUAAUUGAUGGGGUUAGCGGCAACGCGAAGCUCUUGAUCGAAGCCCCGGUAAACGGCGGCCGUAACUAUAACGGUCCUAAGGUAGCGAAAUUCCUUGUCGGGUAAGUUCCGACCUGCACGAAUGGCGUAAUGAUGGCCAGGCUGUCUCCACCCGAGACUCAGUGAAAUUGAACUCGCUGUGAAGAUGCAGUGUACCCGCGGCAAGACGGAAAGACCCCGUGAACCUUUACUAUAGCUUGACACUGAACACUGGUCCUUGAUGUGUAGGAUAGGUGGGAGGCUUUGAAGCGUGGACGCCAGUCUGCGUGGAGCCAUCCUUGAAAUACCACCCUUUAAUGGCUGGUGUUCUAACGUAGACCCGUGAUCCGGGUUGCGGACAGUGUCUGGUGGGUAGUUUGACUGGGGCGGUCUCCUCCCAAAGAGUAACGGAGGAGCACGAAGGUUGGCUAAUCCUGGUCGGACAUCAGGAGGUUAGUGCAAUGGCAUAAGCCAGCUUGACUGCGAGCGUGACGGCGCGAGCAGGUGCGAAAGCAGGUCAUAGUGAUCCGGUGGUUCUGAAUGGAAGGGCCAUCGCUCAACGGAUAAAAGGUACUCCGGGGAUAACAGGCUGAUACCGCCCAAGAGUUCAUAUCGACGGCGGUGUUUGGCACCUCGAUGUCGGCUCAUCACAUCCUGGGGCUGAAGUAGGUCCCAAGGGUAUGGCUGUUCGCCAUUUAAAGUGGUACGCGAGCUGGGUUUAGAACGUCGUGAGACAGUUCGGUCCCUAUCUGCCGUGGGCGCUGGAGAAUUGAGGGGGGCUGCUCCUAGUACGAGAGGACCGGAGUGGACGCAUCACUGGUGUUCGGGUUGUCAUGCCAAUGGCAUUGCCCGGUAGCUAAAUGCGGAAGAGAUAAGUGCUGAAAGCAUCUAAGCACGAAACUUGCCCCGAGAUGAGUUCUCCCUGAGACUUUAAGUCUCCUGAAGGAACGUUAAAGACGAUGACGUUGAUAGGUCGGGUGUGUAAGUGUAGCGAUACAUUGAGCUAACCGAUACUAAUGAACCGUGAGGCUUAACCUU